UACGUAGGGACCGAGCGUUGUCCGGAAUCAUUGGGCGUAAAGAGCAUGUAGGCGGCUUGUUAAGUCUUGCGUGAAAAUCUCGGGGGGCUCAACCCCCCGAGCGGUCGUGAGAAAACUGGGCAGGGCUAGAGUGCGGGGAGAGGAGAGUGGAAAUUCCUGGGUAUAGCGGGUGAAAAAUGCGCAGAUAUCAGGGAAAGAAACACCCCCGUGGGCGAAAGGGCGGCGACCCUGGGUCCCAUUUACUGACGCUGAGGGCG
rnacentral:rRNA from 1 species